CCUGCCAAGGGUGGUUAUUUUCUCGAUGAAAU
rnacentral:scRNA from 1 species